rnacentral:rRNA from 1 species
CCCGCUGAACUUAAGCAUAUCACUAAGCGGAGGAAAAGAAAUUAACUAAGAUUGCCUCAGUAACGGCGAGUGAAGCGGCAAGAGCCCAAACUGGAAAUCUUCACCCCUCGGGUGACGAAUUGUAAUCUAAAGCUGGUUCGCUCAACGGGUGGUGGCGCAGAAGUGCCUUAGAACGGGCCGCCAGAGAGGGUGACAGCCCCGUAUGUGGUGCCACUACCUAACGAGUGGGUUAGCAAAGAGUCGGGUUGCUUUGAAUUGCAGCCCUAAGUGGGAGAUAAACUUCUUCUAAGGCUAAAUACCUAUGGGAAACCGGUAGCGAACAAGUACUGUGAAGGAAAGAUGAAAAGAACUUUGAAAAGAGAGUCAAAAGACUUGAAAUCGUUGAGAAGGAAGCGGUAGAAAUUUAUUCUUCGGCGGUGUGCGGUGGUGGUUGCCUAGCCAUUGCAGGCUUCGAGCACGUCAAAGGCUCUGGUUUGCACUUGGGGAAGCGGCCGCUUUGUUCGCCGUCGUGAGGCAAAAUGAGGUCGCGUUCCCGCAGAGGCUUCUCAGACCUGGCCUGAUUCGUCAGGCAGUCUGGGUGUGCUGGCGGGCGUGCGGCCUGAGGGUGCUUUGUGCGAUUUUGCCAAAAUGGUUUUUACCGACCCGUCUUGAAACACGG